GACGAACGCUGGCGGCGUGCUUAACACAUGCAAGUCGAACGGUGAACCUCUUCGGAGGGGAUCAGUGGCGAACGGGUGAGUAACACGUGGGCAACCUGCCCCCGGCUCUGGGAUAACUCCAAGAAAUUGGGGCUACUACCGGAUGUUCACCGCUUCCCGCAUGGGUGGUGGUGGAAAGGGUUUCCGGCUGGGGAUGGGCCCGCGGCCUAUCAGCUUGUUGGUGGGGUAGUGGCCUACCAAGGCGACGACGGGUAGCCGGCCUGAGAGGGUGACCGGCCACACUGGGACUGAGACACGGCCCAGACUCCUACGGGAGGCAGCAGUGGGGAAUAUUGCGCAAUGGGCGGAAGCCUGACGCAGCGACGCCGCGUGGGGGAUGACGGCCUUCGGGUUGUAAACCUCUUUCAGCAGGGACGAAGCGCAAGUGACGGUACCUGCAGAAGAAGCACCGGCCAACUACGUG
rnacentral:rRNA from 1 species